GGGCUGUUAGCUUAAUGGUAUAGCAGAAGGUUUAAUUCUUCGGGUGCAGGUUCAAGUUCUGCACAGCCCGCCA
rnacentral:tRNA from 1 species